rnacentral:rRNA from 1 species
GACAGAGGUCCCGAGCGUUAGGCGGAAUCACUGGGCUUAAAGCGUGUGUAGGCGGAUCGUUAAGUACCUUGUGAAAUCCCACGGCUUAACCGUGGAACUGCUUGGUAUACUGGCGGUCUUGAGCCACUUAGGGGCUACCGGAACAAAUGGUGGAGCGGUGAAAUGCGUAGAUAUCAGGAGGAACACCGAUGGCGAAGGCAGGUCUCUGGGCCACUACUGACGCUGAGAAGCGAAAGCAUGGGGAGCGAACAGG